rnacentral:sRNA from 1 species
CUCGAUCUCAGCUCUUCCCGGGGCCCGGGGGCCUCUUUCUUCCGUCCACUCCUCAUUGACAUCUGAGAGCAGGAUAGAUGCAGGGAACACAGAAUGCCCAGAGGUACCUAUGAGCUUCAACCUCACUAACACACAGCUGGAUUUUACCCUUCGCAAGCCCUGGAGAGUUUUCUGUGGCCUGGUGUGGUGGUCGAUGCCCGGACUGCCAACUCAGAAGACUGCUGUGGGCAUCACACACUCAAGGCCAACUCAGAAGACUGCUGUGGGCAUCACACAUUCAAGGCCAGCCUAAACUAAACAACAAGCUCCCAUCUAGAAAGCAAAACAAAACGUUUGUCUAUGCAUGAGUACAAAUUU